GUGCCAGCCGCCGCGGUAAUUCCAGUCUCCAAUAGCGUAUAUUAAAGUUGUUGUGGUUAAAAAGCUCGUAGUUGAACCUUGGGCCUGGCUGGCCGGUCCGCCUCACCGCGUGCACUGGUCCGGCCGGGCCUUUCCCUCUGUGGAACCCCAUACCCUUCACUGGGCGUGGCGGGGAAACAGGACAUUUACUUUGAAAAAAUUAGAGUGCUCCAGGCAGGCCUAUGCUCGAAUACAUUAGCAUGGAAUAAUAAAAUAGGACGCGCGGUUCUAUUUUGUUGGUUUAUAGGACCGCCGUAAUGAUUAAUAGGGACAGUCGGGGGCAUCAGUAUUCAACUGUCAGAGGUGAAAUUCUUGGAUCAGUUGAAGACUAGCUACUGCGAAAGCAUUUGCCAAGGAUGUUUUCAUUAAUCAGGAACGAAAGUUAGGGGAUCGAAGACGAUCAGAUACCGUCGUAGUCUUAACCAUAAACUAUGCCGACUAGGGAUCGGACGGUGUUAUUCAUGACCCGUUCGGCACCUUACGAGAAAUCAAAGUGCUUGGGCUCCAGGGGGAGUAUGGUCGCAAGGCUGAAACUUAAAGAAAUUGACGGAAGGGCACCACCAGGGGUGGAGCCUGCGGCUUAAUUUGACUCAACACGGGGAAACUCACCAGGUCCAGACACAAUAAGGAUUGACAGAUUGAGAGCUCUUUCUUGAUUUUGUGGUGGUGAUGCAUGACCGUUCUUAGUGGUGGGGUGACUUGUCUGCUUAAUUGCGAUAACGAACGAGACCUUAACCUGCUAAAUAGCCCGCAUGCUCCGGCAGUGCGCUGGCUUCUUAGAGGGACUUUCC
rnacentral:rRNA from 1 species